CCUUCCCGAGAGGGGAGCUGCUCUUUGGGGAGGCGGAAAUAAUGAGGUGAGAAGAGUCUCCAACCUGGCUCAAGGACGUGACGUUUUCCUCCUUACCUUGAGCUGGCCAGCCAGACCUCCAAAUCGGACCCAAGACUGCUGGGUCACAGUUUGACAUACUGACUGAAGUUACACAAGGGAAACAACCUCCAGGAGAUGAGGACUGCGGGACAAUGGGAUAGGAAGCAAAAGGAACCCUUGAGUGGUUUCCCCACCCCCGUCCCCACCCCACCCGCAC